rnacentral:rRNA from 1 species
CUUAGUAUCGGGCCAGCGGGCGGUGUAAUACUAAGGGGGCGAGCGUUGGUCGGAAUUACUGGGCGGAAAGCGCGCGUAGGCGGCUGAGCAAGUUAGGCGUUAAAGUCCGGGGCUCAACCUGGGGACGGCGCUUCAGACUGCUAGGCUUGAGUCCGGAAGAGGGUGGUGGAAUUCCGAGUGUAGAGGUGAAAUUCGUAGAUAUUGGGAGGAACACCAGUGGCGAAGGCGGCCACCUGGCCCGGUACUGACGCUCAAGUGCGAAAGCGUGGGGAGCAAACAGGAUUAGAUACCCUAGUAGUC